rnacentral:lncRNA from 1 species
UCUUUUCUUCCAUUUUAACCAUAAAAAAUUGAAUUUAAUUCAUAUUUAAAUCCUAAAUAUUCAAUUUUUCACUUAUUCAAAGUAAUUAUUUAUAUAGAACAUAUCUAACUUUCCAAAAAAUGGCGAUCUCCGACUGAUCGACGUGCGUCAGAUCUUGGCCGAAGUGGGUCAAGUCCGGAUCGUCCGUAGGUGGCGUGUAUCCAAACUACUUUUUUCUUUUUUUCUCUUUAUUUUCCUCUUCUCUUCUUUUCAAAUGAAGGUAUUUUCGACUCUUUAGAUUUUGUUUACAUUUUUUUAUUUUUAUUUUUUUUAAAUUUGGUCAAAGGCUCUUAUGAAAGAAUAACUGGGUGGGACAGCCAUUUGGCCACCAUUUCCUCCCGACGGUUAACAUGCAGUGGGCUGACUGACGACUGUUAACAAUCACUUUUACAAUCAACCCAAAGACUGUUAACAAUUCGGCCCAACACCCAACCGUUUUUCUUGCCGGAAAUCGUCAUUUCCAACGUGAAAAAGCUCCCAUCCACCUCCAAAAACUUUUAUUAGUUUACAUGCUAUCGCCUGUUAUAUCACCCAAAACUUUUUAAAUUUUCCAUUAUAAUAUUCAACACAAAUUUAUUGCAGUAGGUAAAAAACACUUAAAAUCGCAAAAGGAAUAAUAAUAACAACUAUCAAUAAUAUUUACCUCACUAAUUUCUUGGACGUCACGAGAAUUAAAUUUCCUAUACCUCCCAUACCAAGAGUAGAUAUUGUUGCACUUGUCUCCUUUUUGGACCUUCCAUUUUUUGUUACAGUUUCCAAAUAGAGCAUCCAGACCUUUGUCUCAAAACAAAAUCUUGCCUCCGCAAUCGGUAAAUUGUGUAUCCUGUUGAAAUCGAAGCAUUUUCGGGGCAUUAGAACUUUAGAUCUGACUUCUCUUUCAGAGGAAGAAAAAUGGCCGGUACUCCAUAGCAUUAUUGGUGAGCAAUGGUCUGGUGUAGUGAUUAGGGGCUGCAUUUAUCGAAUGGAAUCCAAAUGGGUAUAGUAGGAGGUUGAGUAAUGAGUUUGGCGUCC